AAACUUUAGAAAGCAUUCUACAUUAUUAAUUAUUCGUGUCGCGUUUUAGUGUUUUUAAAUAAUGAGAACGAGUCAUUUGCAAUACUUGAUGAUGGUGGAGUUUAUGGAAGUAAAUGGAGAUUUAUCCAAACCUUCUGGUGGUCCACGAGGUCGGCAUUUCGUUCAAAUGAAGUGGAAAGAACUGAGUAAUAAAUUAAAUGGUGAUGGCACAGGAGAUCCUAGAUCCGAAGAGAAAUGGCGCAAGGUAUAGAGUGACUAUAAAAAUAACACUAAAAAGAAGUGUGCCAAAAUGAAUAGGGGCGCUAGUGGCACUGGUGGUGGGCCAGCACUUCAAUUAUCUUUGACUGACCUUGAAAAUAGGGUCAUGCAGAUAAUUGGAGUGCAAGCAGCAACGGGUAUGGUGAUAGAAGAAGCUGAGUUUCAGCGGGUUAGCUGUGGUGUAGCGACUGAGGUUGAUACUGCAUCAGUUCAACCUGAUAAAUCAGUACCUGAAGUCUCUUCAGAAUUUUAUAUAGAAGAUUGGAAUACUCCUGGUACCAGCAAGGAACCCACUGUUGCACCUCCAUCUAUGUUGUCACCACCAGCACCUACUACAUCACCUCCAAAUGCUCCUGUGGAAGAGGAGUGGAAGCCUCCACCACAAAAAAAAUUUAAAAACAACAACGAAGCAAUUAAAAUGUUAAUUAGAGGAGAUAUGCAAUCUAGGGAGUAUGCUAGGGAGCGUGAUAGGGUAUAUGAGGAGACAGAAAAGGAAAGGUUAAGAUUAAAGAAUGAAGAAUUGAAAGUGAGAGAGUUAGAGAUACGAGAAAGAGUGAGACAGAGGGAUAUAGAGCUACAAUUGCAAGCUGCAUGGCUGGCGGUUAUGAGACAGGCUAUGGAAGUUUUUGUUAGGUAUAUGGAAAGACAUUGAUAUUAUAAUAUUACUUUUUAAUUAAUUAUUAUUUAAUUUACA